AAACAAAGCCAAGUUUUUUUGCUCCUUUCACUAAAGCUGCUUCAUCCGGGGAGGAAGCCUGGUAGAUUAUAAUAUUUCCAGGGAUAACAGUGUGGCACACAGAUAACAGGCUGUUUCUGGCAAAGCCUGCCGUGUCUUACAUUUGUCUCUCUAUCCGGAUUAGAUGUUGCUAUAUGAACACAUCGGGACUGUGUCUGCAGGAAGGAGCUCCCCAUUCGAGGCCUUCACAGUGUCACCCACAUUCACCUCUUUCCACUUAAUCGUGUCCCAUGAAUCUUGUCAUAACAGUUUUGUGUUCCUUAACUAUUUUGUCUGCCAUGUCAUUUAUGAUGUAUAACCUCUUUAAUGCCUGAAAUCAUAAGAAUAAUCAUCAAAGGCAAGAGGGUUGUAUAUUUUCCCGUUGGAGACACAUCUGGAAUUUGCUGCAAUAAAAUAAUAAUAAGAAAGC
rnacentral:sRNA from 1 species